rnacentral:piRNA from 1 species
CUAAGACACACUGGACUCCGCUUGCU